rnacentral:rRNA from 1 species
GACGAACGCUGGCGGCGUGCCUAAUACAUGCAAGUCGAACGAAGCUUUUUUAACUGGUGCUUGCACCGACUUAAACAACUGAGUGGCGAACGGGUGAGUAACACGUGGGUAACCUGCCCCAAAGCGGGGGAUAACAUUUGGAAACAGAUGCUAAUACCGCAUAACCACAGAAACCACAUGGUUUCUGUGUCAAAGAUGGUUUCGGCUAUCACUUUGGGAUGGACCCGCGGCGUAUUAGCUAGUUGGUAAGGUAAUGGCUUACCAAGGCAAUGAUACGUAGCCGAACGGAGAGGUUGAUCGGCCACAUUGGGACUGAGACACGGCCCAAACUCCUACGGGAGGCAGCAGUAGGGAAUCUUCCACAAUGGACGAAAGUCUGAUGGAGCAACGCCGCGUGAGUGAAGAAGGUUUUCGGAUCGUAAAACUCUGUUGUCAGAGAAGAACGUGUGCGAGAGUAACUGUUCGUGCAGUGACGGUAUCUGGCCAGAAAGCCACGGCUAACUACGUGCCAGCAGCCGCGGUAA